UAAUUGGAGAGUUUGAUCCUGGCUCAGAAUGAACGCUGGCGGCGUGCUUAACACAUGCAAGUCGCACGAGAACUCUGGCGCACGGGUGAGUAACGCGUGGGUAAUCUACCUCAGAAUUGGGGAUAACAUUGUGAAAGCGAUGCUAAUACCGAAUAAUAUCUCGAGAACUUAGGCUUUUGGGAUCAAAGGUGGCCUCUACAUGUAAGCUACUGUUUUGAGAUGAGCCCGCGUACCAUUAGCUUGUUGGUAGGGUAAUGGCCUACCAAGGCAACGAUGGUUAGCUGGUCUGAGAGGAUGAUCAGCCACACUGGAACUGACACACGGUCCAGAGUCAAGUGAGAAGAACCUAUCCCACGAUAAUACCGUGGGAUACUGACGGUAUCACUGAAGGAAGCACCGGCUAACUCCGUGCCAGCAGCCGCGGUAAUACGGAGGGUGCAAGCGUUAUUCGGAAUUAUUGGGCGUAAAGGGCGCGUAGGCGGUCUUUUAAGUCAGAUGUGA
rnacentral:rRNA from 1 species